rnacentral:rRNA from 1 species
GACGAACGCUGGCGGCGUGCCUAAUACAUGCAAGUAGAACGCUGAAGGAGGAGCUUGCUUCUCUGGAUGAGUUGCGAACGGGUGAGUAACGCGUAGGUAACCUGCCUGGUAGCGGGGGAUAACUAUUGGAAACGAUAGCUAAUACCGCAUAAGAGUAGAUGUUGCAUGACAUUUGCUUAAAAGGUGCAAUUGCAUCACUACCAGAUGGACCUGCGUUGUAUUAGCUAGUUGGUGGGGUAACGGCUCACCAAGGCGACGAUACAUAGCCGACCUGAGAGGGUGAUCGGCCAAACUGGGACUGGGACACGGCCCAGACUCCUACGGGAGGCAGCAGUAGGGAAUCUUCGGCAAUGGACGGAAGGCUGACCGAGCAACGCCGGGGGAGUGAAGAAGGGUUUCGGAUCGUAAAGCUCUGUUGUAAGAGAAGAACGAGUGUGAGAGUGGAAAGUUCACACUGUGACGGUAUCUUACCAGAAAGGGACGGCUAACUACGUG